CUGAUGUCUUGUGGUCUCACCUCGGCCUGCUGCUCAGCUCUCUCCUCGGUCCUCUCGUCUCCAAACUCACGGCUGACUGAACUGAACCUGAGCAACAACAACCUGGGAGAUUCAGGGGCUCGUCAGCUGAGUGAGGGGCUCAGGAGUGACAACUGUAAAUUAAAGAUACUGAGAUGAGGUCUGAUAUGAAUUGACUUUCCACCCCAGUAGACGUCAUGACCACCGUGUAAAACUGGGCCGCGUUCACCUGAUCUGCAAUAUGAGGAGGUGCUGCUGCUGACCUGAACAGACGUCUGAACAUUCACUGCCCUGCUGGUUCUGCUGUGCCUGUGCUCGAUGGCAAUGGCCUCUAUUUCUGACUUUCCAGCUGACCUGUUGGAGGAAUCGCCUUCAACCAUAAAAGCUGUGAGAGCUGGUGAGGUGAGGGGAAACAUGAGAGCAGCAAGAAGAUUUGGAUCAGAUGGAGGAGUUACAGCAGGAACAGGAUUUGGAUCAUUAGGAUCUGGAGGACUAUAUGGAUACGGAAGAGUCAGAGGAUGAUCUUUCAGGAUUUGGUAAAUUAGAGCCAAAAGGACCAAACAGACCAAUCGUUGCCAAGAAAGAUGAAGUCAAAGAAUGUCUAUUAGUUUAAAAUAAAACCAAACACA